GGCGAAUCAGCUCCAUACAAAUGAAACCGAUGAACAUUGUAUGGAGC
rnacentral:ncRNA from 1 species